AGGGGAGGGAGUUCUAUAUGGACCUCACUAGAGUUACACAUUUGAUGGGUGGAUGGAAGAGCCCAAUAAAAAUCACGAAGGAAACUUGGAAGAAGUGCAGUCCAACGGUCAUCUCUGCCUCGGGACAAGAAAACACAUGCACCAAUG